GCGACGGACGCGGGGUGCGCGCGCAGCCGCGGGUGCGGUUCCGGUUCCGGCCCGAGGAGGACGAGCGGGGUCCGCGGCCGCUGAGCCCCACCCCAGGUGGAUCAAGUCGGAUAUCGUCUGCAAUGCUGCCCCACGUGGCGCUGUCCUUCCGGUGCCGGGUCUGCGCCGUGGCCUCCUGCCGGCCUGCUCCCUGGAGACACAGAUGGAGUGGCUUCCUGCACACGGGCCCAGAAGCCCUCUCUGACAGGAGCGCCCCGGUGUUCACCCGUGCCUUGGCCUUUGGGGCCAGAACCGCCCUCGUCGACCAGCACGGCCACCACACAUACGCAGACCUUUACUCCCACAGCGUCCGCCUGUCCCGGGAGAUCUGCAGGCUCCGCGAGUGCACAGGCGGGGACCUGCGGGGGGAGAGGGUCUCCUUCAUGUGCUCCAAUGACGUGUCCUACGUGGUGGCCCAGUGGGCCUCAUGGAUGAGUGGUGGCAUCGCUGUCCCUCUGUACGGGAAGCUCCCGCAGGCCCAGCUGGAGUAUUUCAUCCGGGACUCCCAGAGCUCCGUGGUCCUGGCCGGCCAGGAGUACGUGGAGAUCCUGAGCCCAGUGGUCGGGAAGCUGGGGAUCCCACUCCUGCCUCUCCCGCCCACAGUCUACAGCAGGGCAGCAGAGGAGCGCAGGGACGGGGAGGUGCCGGAGCGGGACUGGAGAGACCGGGGCGCCAUGAUUGUCUACACCAGCGGGACCACGGGGCAGCCCAAGGGCGUGCUGAGCACCCAUCCCAACAUCCAGGCCAUGGUGAAGGGGCUGGUCCACAAGUGGGCGUGGACCAAAGACGAUGUGAUCCUGCACGUCCUCCCGCUGCACCACAUCCACGGCGUGGUCAACAAGCUGCUCUGUCCGCUCUGGGUGGGAGCCACCUGUGUGAUGCUGCCCGAGUUCAGCGCGCAGCAGGUUUGGGAAAAGUUCUUAAGUCCUGAAACCCCACGGAUUAAUGUAUUUAUGGCCGUGCCCACAAUAUACAGCAAGUUGUUGGAUUACUAUAACAAACACUUCACCCAGCCUCACGUCCGGGAUUUUAUACGUGCAGUUUGUGAAGAAAAAAUUAGGUUGAUGGUUUCAGGAUCGGCCGCCCUGCCCCUGCCUGUGCUGGAGGCCUGGAGGAACGUCACAGGCCACACCCUGCUGGAGAGGUACGGGAUGACAGAGAUCGGCAUGGCCCUGUCCAACCCCCUGACCACGGCUCGCUUGCCAGGGUCUGUAGGGACGCCACUGCCAGGCAUCGAGGUGCGCAUUGUCUCAGAAAACCUGAAGAAGGAGGGCUGCCCCUACAUCCUCCACGCAGAAGGGAAUGAGAAGGAGACCAAGGUGACCCCGGGGUUCAAGGAGAAGGAAGGGGAGCUCUUGGUCAGGGGGCCCUCCGUGUUCCGGGAAUACUGGGGCAGACCUGAGGAGACGAAGAAGGCCUUCACCUCAGACGGCUGGUUCAAGACAGGUGACACAGCUGUGUUCAAGGACGGCAGUUACUGGAUCCGGGGCCGCACGUCAGUGGACAUCAUCAAGAGUGGCGGCUACAAGGUCAGCGCCCUGGAGGUGGAGCGGCUGCUGCUGGCCCACCCCAGCAUCGCAGAUGUGGCUGUGGUCGGUGUUCCAGACGUGACAUGGGGCCAGCGGGUCACUGCGGUCGUGGCCCUUCCAGAGGGACACUCACUGUCCCACCAGGAGCUCAAAGCAUGGGCACGAGGCGUCAUGGCCCCGUACGCUGUGCCUUCGGAGCUGCUGCUGGUGGAGACGAUCCCGCGGAACCAGAUGGGGAAGGUCAACAAGAAGGAACUCAUCAGGCAGUUCUACCCGUGCAACCAGGGCGCCCCAGGGCUGGGCGCCCAGGAGCCAGCAUCGCCUUCCCACUAGAAGGAAUAGAGUCACAGCACACCCACGCCAAGUCUCCCCUGCUCACCUCCCCCUCCUGAAGACCACCGCCCUCUCUCUUCUGGGGCGCAGAUCAGGGGCCAUUCCUCAGGGAGCCAUCGAGGUGGGUGGCCAGACCCCAAGGUCAUGCCAGCCGAGCACCUCUUGGGGCCUGUGACCUCCUUUGUGAAGACGCCCAAGGGCAGGAGAAGGGCUCAGUGGAAGUCACAUGCUAGAAGGUAGCUCCCGGCGGGCGAGCGAAUGUAAAUGGGCCAGGUACCCACAUGCACUCAUGUCUGUGGGUGUGCGUGCAGGCUUCUGGGCAUCCCCUGCCUGCAUGGGGAUAUGCAGCAGCAGGCCCAGCCUGUUUGCUGUCCCUCCUCAUGGCAGCCUUGCCCCACCCCAGCCCUCUCCCCAGCACCAUUCUGCCACUCUCAUCAGCUUGCCACGCACGCCGCCCUUGACAGCCUGCUCGUACACACAGCCAUGCAAUUACUCUGUAAUGGCUACAGGCCAUUAAGUCAUCAAUUUGCUCAUCCCAGCCUGCCAACCCUUCCGCAUCACGCAGUAAAGCUAUUAAAACAACAGCAUCCUUAAUGUGUUGGGGACAUGCCCGUCAGCACCUGCCUCGACGGGGAAGAGCCGAGUCUUAGAAGACACACCACCCCAGCCAGUUGGCUGUACAAACACACGUGCACAUAUGUGGACAUGGACGUGCAUGUACAGUGCACACCCCAGAUGUAUGGACACAGGGACAUGGGCACAUAUAUAACUAACUGCACAUACUAUGCACAUGUAAGUGUCCACAGACAAUGCAGAUCUGGGCUCUGAAGACUCCUGUCAGUGUCAGCUGCCUCUAGGCUCCCCGGUCAGUGAUGGUUGGAGCAGGACCGGAGUGCUCAGGGCUGGCAGCAGCUGGCACAAGGCUUGAGCAGGGCACCCCGUGCUCCCUAACCAGUAGGUCAGGCCUGCGGGGCACCCCCAGCCUGCACGGGAGCCUGCAUGUGGGCCCCCAGCCCCUCCCAUCCCCAGAACAGCGAUGUGUACACGGGUUAAGAGCCCAUUCAGGGCUCGCGUCAGCCUUAGGGCAGAGUAACAGGUGGUAACACUGCCCUCCCGGCUCCAGCUUCCCAAGAACUACACUGUACAUCCCAAGUUUCACCCUGUCCCUCUGGGGAGCCACCCGCAGUCGGGACUGCGUGGGUGGCCACAUCUGGACAUGGGAGUGAGUGUGCUGUGUGCCUUCUGGGCUGGCAGAUACAUCAGAGCUUCCUGUUCAGCUUAUCCUGGAUUCGCAGUGUGAAGUCCACCCCCCCACCCACCGCUGUUCCUGUGUGUCACCUUCGUGGGCAAAGCUGCCCUCCAUGUAUGUCACCCCUUUGGCACCUGAGCAAGAGCUCAUCCACAAAAUACUCCCGGUUGUGGAAUUGCGGGAUUGUAGGCACCGGUCUCCAAGUUUCUAGAUACGGCCCCAUUCUUCCCGAAGAGGCCGCGCCUGUGGCCUCCAGCAGGGGAGACACCUGCCAGCACAGUGGGCAGAAUCCUCACCGCUGUUUCCAUGACUACCAGCUCCCUGGGGGUAUUCUGCAUAUUUACUGGACAUUGGGGUCUGCUGCUCUGUGAACUCCCUGUUCAUGCUCUUUGCCCGUUUUCUGGACUCUUGGUGAUUUUCCCUGAUUCCACUUCGGUUGUGUGGUUUGCCUCUUACUUCAUUUAAUACCUGUUGAUGUGUAGGAUUUUAAUAUUUUAUUCAGAGACAUUAAUCUUUUUUAUGGCUUGAAGUUUUCAUGUCUAAAAACUCCUUUGCUACUUGAAGCUCUUAAAUACAUUUCCCACUUGUUCUAAAAAAUACAAAGCUUUGCUUUUCUCAUUUAAACCUUAAUUUGCUGGAAAUUUAUUUUCUCUUGUGGUGCGAAAAGCCCUAAUUUUCCUUUAUGGAAUAGUUUGUGUUCCCAGCAUGGUUCUCGGACUCGGGUCUCUCCCGGCCGCACUGCACAGCCUCCCUCCACGCCCAAGCGUCAGGUGUGCUCCGCGCUGCCCCUUCCUUCCCAGCCCAUUCACCUCUUUUCCAGGCUCUGCCGCUGAUUUCCUGUCUGAUGUCUGUCAGGGUGAGGCACCCACCCGCAUGUCCUUGCGAGCAGUCUAGGCUGAUCUUGGCCCCUUGUUCUUACAUCUGGAUUUUAAGAGCAGCUUCAAGUUCCUCUUCAAAAGCCUCAUUGGGGUUUUUGUAGAGGUGAUUCAACUUGUAGAUUAAUUAAUCUGGUGAGAUUUGACAUCUUUACAAAACUGCUCUCUCCGGCCCAUGAACGGUGACCCCGCUCCGCAUUUCUUCGGGCUUCGUGUUUUGCAGUUUUCUCUACAAUAACCGUGCACGUCUUUGGAAACGUUCAGCUCCAGGCAGACGACAACCAGGGGGAAGGUGGUGGCCACCUGUCCUCUCUCAGGCUGCGGGGCUGCUCCAGAGCCGCUGCCCAGAUCCCCAGGUGAGCACAGGCGAACAGGCCAGCUUCCGACCAGCUCGUGUUACUGCCUCCAGUUGUUAAGAUGUUCUGUGAAUGAGUGCUAAAUUGUA